UCAGUCGUUGAAGUGCUUUGGU
rnacentral:miRNA from 1 species